rnacentral:rRNA from 1 species
GGACCUGCACAAAUGGUGGAGCAUGUUGUUUAAUUCGUCAGUACACGUAAACCUUACCAGGGAUUGAACGUCAGCAAAGUGUUAGAAAUAACAUGGAGGUUAACUGAUAGUCAGGUGAUGCAUGGUUGUUGUAAGCUCGUGUCGUGAGAUGUUGGAUUAAGUCCCGCAACGAGCGCAACCCCUUUUGUUUGUUACUUUAUCAAACAAUACUGCCUACGCAAGUAGGAGGAAGGUGGGGACGACGUCAAAUCAUCAUGUCCUUUAUAUCCUGGGCCACAAACGUGCUACAAUGGUUGGUACAAAGAGUCGCAAUACAGUAAUGUAGAGCUAAUCUGUAAAAGCCAAUCUCAGUUCGGAUUGAGGGUUGCAAUUCACCCUCAUGAAGUUGGAAUCAUUAGUAAUCGCGAAUCAUACAUGUCGCGGUGAAUACG